AUGAACAUAGGGGUGCAUGUAUCUUUUUGAAUGAAUGUUUUGUCCAGAUAUAUGCCCAGGAGUGAGACUGCUGGACCAUAUGGUAGUUCUUCUUUUAGUUUUAUGAAUAAAGUUCUUAAUUUCAGAUUCUGUAUUUUUCAGUGCUACAGAUUCCUCUUGCUAUUUUUGGUACUUUGCAUUUCUCUGAUGAAACACUUGUCUUUCUAAAUAUAUUAUCUCCCCUUUGCCUCUGUUUUCUUGACCAUUGUAGUCAUAAUUAAUUAAAAAUCCACAUCUACUAACUCCAGAAUCCAAAUCACCCAUGGGUCUUUCUCUCUUUUCUGUUUGUUUCUACUGUGUAGGUGCAUGGUCCUGUCCCUUGGCAUGCCUAUUAAUUGUUGAUUGAAUAUAAGACAUCCUGAGCCUCUAGGUGAUUUUGUUUUUCACCAGAGAGGACUUAGCCUUUCGUCUAUUGGAAAGAUUGAGUGGAAGCUAAUCACCUUAAUCCAGUCAGGUACUGUGUAUUGCGUUGAAGCUGGGUUGCAGUUUGAAUGAGUCUCAGUUUUCUCUGUUUUGCCUCUUUUCCUAUGGGAUAACUUACUAGGCUUUCAAUGGUAAAGGUAAUAUCUUCCCUGGGGACCUUUUAGGUAUUCUCAUCUGGGCUUUUUUAACCUCCCAUUUAGGACAGCUCAGAAUUUGCCAAAUAUUUUGAAGGGGAAACAAGUCGGGUAUCUCAGACCCUCUGGUUCUCCAGCCCUGCAAGAUUGCCAAAAGCACUGCUGGUUCCUCUGUCCCUAGCAGCAUUCUUCUGCCAAGGUAAAGCCCAGAGUAUCAUUCUCACCUUCACCCGGAACCAGCAAAUGCCUCCAGGGGAAGGAGCAGCUACAGACCAUAUUUUACCUCUCAGUUCUCUCUUCUCGAAUCUUAGUUCCUUUAGUUGUCUUUGUUUCAGCCCCUCUCUGAUAUUUUUAAACAAAUACUUUUUGUACUUUGUCCAGCUUUGCUAGUCGUUCUUGGCAGGAGCGCAGAUCUGCCACAAACGACUCUGUUCUGUCUGGAAGCAGAAUUCCAGUGAGUUUUUAAUUUCUCUUAAUAUAUUUUUCAUUUCAGGAAGUUUUAUUUUGUUCACUCCCAAACCCAUUUGGUCAUUUUUGUGAUGUCUUGCUCCUACCUCAUCUUUUUAACCCCUUUUAAAUUUUCUUGUAUGUUUUAAACAUGCUUAUUCUAUACUUCCGAUUAUUUCAAUAUCUCAAGUAUUUACUGCUCCAAUUUUGAUAUUAUUUCUGCUGGCUUCAUUUAUCUUUGCUUUUUGUUUAUAUAUUUCCUGAUUCAUGAAUGUGGGCUUAUAUGUCCUAAAAUUAGUCUCUGUGGGACUCUUUCCCCCCGCCCCCACUUUUUAGGGUAGCAUCUGUAGCACAUUAAGUUCCCAGCCUAGGGAUCGAAUCAGAGUUGCAGGUGUCAACCUACACCACAGCUCGCGGCAACGCAGGAUCCUUAACCCACUGAGUGAGGCCAGGAAUCAAACCCGUGUCCUCAUGGAUACUAGUCGGAUUUGUUUCUGCCGAGCCACAACAGGCACUUUCUCUGUGGGACUUUUCAAGGCCUGAAUUGAAGAUGGGUUCCUUCAUAGAGAUUUAGUAUUUGCUUCUGCCUGGGAACAUGUACAGGCCUUAGCACACUUUAAAAUCUUAAUUUGAAUAUUAUUGGUCCACUUAAAAAUAAUAAUUUGGGGUGAAAAUCCACACGAGGUCUAGCUUCUGUUUAUAAAAUUCAUAGAAGGAAUUUUUUUUUGUAUUUUCCAUUCAAGGUCUGAGUUUAAUAUUUCUCUUUGUGGCUGGGCCUGGGUUUUGUCCACUAUCCCCUGCUCCAUUAGGAGGCAUGAAAACCAAAGCUCAACUUUACCUCUGUCAUAAGUCAGAUGCUCUCAAGGUAAAAACUGUCCUUUGUGCUUCACCUAUCAUUAAGGGUUCCCAGUUUUACUUAGGUUUUGGGCCUCAGUAUUCCUUACUGACUUACCAAAAUAAUGAUGCAUUUGAGAGGUUGUUUGUCAUUUUCUGUCCUACAUGUUUGGUUGUUCACUGUGGGAGGUUCUGGGUCCAUCACAGUAGAAAACAGUAGUCAGGCCUGAAUAUUAUUUACACACACACACAUACUGCUAAUAAAUGUUCUGAAUUUAAUAUCACUUGUAUACAUGAUUAAAAGGAAUAGAUAAUAAAUUUACCUUCAGGAUCAUAAUUGCAGCUCUUUGUCCCCACCAGUAACUACAAGCAGUUUUUCAUUAGAGAAAAGAAAAUGAUUGAAUAAUCCAAAUUAGCCUGGGCAAGAAAACUAACAGCUGCCUAAAAUGAAAUGUUUGAGUUAUGAGCCAUGUGCCACUUUGGUUUAUCUGCAGCCAAAAGGUUCAGAAUCCUUAUUCAAUUAACCACGUUGCUUGGGAGGGCCUGGUUGCCCUGAAUGAGAGCUGCCUGGUGAUGAGUAAGAGGUAUCCGUGACACACAAGUUCAGACCUUGCAACUCUGUUUUUGUUGUUUGAACUUUCUUCUUUGUUGUAGCUAGGGAUCCGGCAUGGAAUUUAAACACUUGUGUGGUAACUCCAUUCCUUCAGCCAUUGUGUUGUUAAGCUCUAGCUAACGAACUUUUAACACUGGUUCCAUGUAAGGUAAGACUUAGAAAAAAGCAGCAGUCAACGUUUCUGGUUUUAUAAAUAAAACCAUAUGAUGUGUCUUUAGCAAAGUAAGAUACUCCUGCAUAUCUAGUCCAGCCACUCCCCCCCAAAAAAUAGCCUUCAAAAUAUAUUUGAAAAAUAAAGAAAUAAACCAAGGUGCACCUAAGAAAGCUUAAAUUAAGAAGUGGCUUUCAUUUCAGAAAAUCUCACCUACUGUAACAGAAACUUCAAAAUGUAUACCUGUUUUGAAACUUGGGAACUUUGCAUAAAAGAGAGAUGCUAAAAUUACGUAAUAUUUGAAAAGGUGAGAGCUGCCAAACGCACCAGUCAAGUAUACUUUGUCUCGUGUGGAAUUUUCUUCCAUGCCAACAGUUUCUGUUGCUUAGGGAGACCCUCCUGGUGGUGCCACAAAGAAUGUUUCUCAAACCCAUAUAGAUUAUGUACACAUUGGCUUGCUAAAGACAAGUUUGAUUUUAAAUCUCUCAACUUCAUUUUGCUUCUUAAUAUACUGUUUUGAAACAAAAACCAGAUGACUAAAAGAGAGGAAACAAUUUUUUCUUCAAUUCGUAAACCAGCUCUGAAGAUAAUUCUGGAGGAGAAAAUUCAAAUAUGGUUUGAACAGCGAUGUAGUAGUUUGACAAAAUAGCUCAGUAUUACUGCUUUAAAGAAUGGCUCUUUAGUUGAAUGGUACACUGAUUACUAGUAUCUUACAUCAUAGUCAUCAUUUUACAAAGUUAAAUUUGUUUUUGCAUAUUUUCUUAAAUUGUGGUCAUAUUGUAAAGAGUAAUUGUGAACUUUUAUUUAGGUGACAUAGAGGAAUGUGAAUAGGUAAUCUUGUUUGUCAAUUGGAAGUGAGGAAAAACUUGAAAUCAGAAGUUUUCUGGGAGUUCCCUUUAUGGCUCAGCAGAAACAAACCCGACUUGUCAGCUAGUAUCCAUGAGGAUGCAGGUUCGAUCUCUGGCCUGGAUCAGCGGGUUAAGUAUCCAGUGUUGCGUGAGCUAUGGUAUAUGUUGCAAACAUGGCGCAGAUCCCUCGUUGCUGUGGCUGUGGCGUAGGCUGGCAGCGGUACCUCCAAUUCAACCCCUAGCCUGGCAACUUCCAUAUAUAUGCCACAGGUGCAGCCCUAAAAAGCCAAAAAAAAAAAAAAAAAAGGAAGAAGAAGAAAGAAGUUUCCCUUCAGUUAAGACCUCAAUUAUAUCAAAGAAUCACUUUAUUUCUGCUUUUAUAAAAGUUGCAACAACUUUUUCAAGAAAUAUAGCUAACUUGUGGACUGCAAGUUUAAUUAUUGCAGAUAUUAUUGUCUUUAAGUUCCAGUUCUUUAUUAUUGUUUCAAUACCUAAGCCCUAUCCUGGGAUAUUUGAGAGCAAAAAUAAAUUGUGCAUGAACAUUACCCACCAAGUUAACAGCUUCAAAAUUUAGUAUUUAGUUACUAAUUUUAUUUUAUCUCUUCUUUAGUCUCCACCAAUUUUCAUCAUGUACUUUGUUGUAUGAAGAUCGUAAAGCUUAAAAAAUGCCCACCAUUCUUCAAUAAAUAGGUCAUUUAUAGCAAAGGCUUUUUGUAACACUUAAGCAUAGAACACUCACUGCAUUUUCCUUGUAUGACCAUGAUGUUAACAUACUGAAAACUUUAAGUUCCCUGAAGAGUUUCUUCUUAUAAAUCUGUCCUAGCUGUGUCUAACUAAAUUAUGUUUUCUUAAGAUAGUAUGUCCUCUGAAAUUGUUUCUAGUAUGUGUCUUACACACAAAGUUAACUAUCUUGGUUAUAAUUGACUGCCAGCAGAUAGAUUCACUUUUGAUAACAGUAUUUUGUUCCUGAUUUUCUAGGAGAUGAAGCUUCUUUCCUCAUCAGUCAACAGUAAACCCAAACUACCAACAUCGUUUACCAUGUUUAAAAAUUAAAAUGAUCUUAAUAAAUAGUGCUCAAAUGAUGGCACAUGGCCAAAUGAAUCAUCUUUGCCCUAAAGAAACACAAAGGGUAAAACACUACCCAUGUAAGACUUAAUUUUCUUGAAAUUCAUCAGACAAGAAGUGAAAAUGCUAUAUAGAUUCUUAGCUUUUGUCUUGAACAUCUGAAGUUCUCUUAGCUAGUAAUUUUUUACUUAGAUUUAUAUCUAUAAUCCUAGGAUCUCCCAUCUCUUUGAAGCCAGUUAAUUAAAACAUGUAAUCACCUUAUAGAACUUUCACAUUAGGGUAAUAUGAGAGAAAAGGAAUUGAAUGACUUUCAUAAUGUGACAUAAGCCGGCAUUUUCAGAGCUAGACGUACAAAUGCAUGUCCAUUCCUAAGCUCUUGCUUCCCUGUUUCUGUUAAGAGCAAAAAUUUGUGCCAUCAUAGUUAAUGUUUUGACAGAUUUUAUCAUAAACCUUGCUGUUGUAAAUUUGCCUUGAGCCAAAAUUUAACAUGUUGUAAGCUCAGAAACAGUUUUUACUGUUAGUGACCAGGAAAGAAAAUAAAUCAAUUACACUCUUUUGAAUGAUAGGAGUAGAGAGUUUAACUCUUUAAAAGUUACACAUUACUUAAAAUUUGAGAGAAAUUUGCAUUUUUAUAUUCAAGAUCUCUCAGUUGUCAAUAAAACAUACAUAAACAUUUUUGUGAUUCUCACAAAGAAGAAUAUAUCAAAGAAAGUAUUAUGAGUCUUAAAUAUGCUCAUUAAAUUUCAUCACCAAAAUAUUACCUCUCAUUUUUAAAAUUAUUUUGCUUCUGAAUAAUCAAUCAGAAUGUACUUCUAGACCCUGUUUGAUGGUGUCUGUCAUCUAUUGCUUUGUAACUACUUAGAGUAUUGUUAAACAUAUUCCCCACUCAUUGCUCUAACAACCUACAGAUCUAGAUUUUUUUUCUCUCUAAAACAUCUUCAAUGACCAUGACCAUUAAUAUUUACUCAUAAAUGCAUUUGUACACAGGCUAAAUCAUAGCACAUCAAUGAAGAAAGAGUUGUAGCCCAGUUCUUUACCCUAGAAUAAAUCAAAUCAACAAAUAUUUAUUGAAUGUCUACUAUGUGCAAAUAGCCCUGGACUGGUCAGCUUUUAAAAGCCACCCAACUUUUCCCACUGACAAAUCAAAGCAUUAUUAUUUCAGUAUUACGGAAGCUGAUUCCAUGUCCUUUAAGUGACACAGCUUGUGAGGACCCUGCAGUUACUUGGGAUAAAGAAAGAUAAGGAAGAGAAAGCAAAUUCACAAACUGAAAAGAGAAGAAAGAAUAACUUAAAUUAUCACCGGUGGAUUGCAUCAUGUCAGAAUCAAGAUCAUCUGCCAACAGUUUAGGAGAAAGGGAGAUGAAAAGGCCUGGAGAAGCUUUGAGUCGUCUGCUAAGGUUGAACACUGGCUACUACAUCACUCUUUCUGUUGCUGAAGAUAAGGCUAAAAUAAAAAGGGUUAUGAUUUACUCUGUUAACGUUAAUUUGUGCUCAUUUUUUAAAUCUCAGGUUAUUCCUCGAGCCACAUCAUCUACUAACCAUUGUAAGUGAAUGUAAGACUUUAAACAUAUCCUGAAAAAAAAAAAAUGCCAACCUCACUUUAUUUAAGAAGUUUCUUGGAAUAUUUUUAAAGUUGCACAUAUAAUACCAAGACUUAAAUAAAACCCCACACCAUAACUUGUUUUAUCAUAUGAGACAAGAAAUGUGUAGAACUUGUUCAUCUCAGAACCCAAUAGCCAACUUGAGAUAAACUGAUAUCUUUGCAAUCCUGCAUUCAAUGCAUUUAUAUAGACAAUAAUAUUAUUA